ACAAUGUUUGACUAUUGAUGAAUAUCAAAGUAUAAUUAUUUAUUUCUUUUCAGGGAUAUAAGCUUCAAUAAUUUCAUUGGUUCACUCCCACCUCAACUGGGGAAUUUAGAAAGUCUGCAACAACUGAAUAUAAGCUACAAUAACUUCAAUAAUUCACUCCCACUUGAGCUGGGGAAGUUGGCGAGUCUGUGACUACUAAACUAGUGGAUGACAAAUUCACAGAAAGACAAAUAGCAUCAGUGGCCACAGAUUGCAACCUAGAUUUAAACAAGGUUCGAGGUGCCAUCAACAAUACUAACAUAAUCCUCUAGGUCAGAUUGUUGAUUGGACCUGAUUUUAUUUAAAUGAUCUUGAUAAUCCAUUUUAUUUAAAUGAGCAGACCCGGAUGUGCGUCGGAGCUAUCCGGAUGUUGAGCGGGGGUCCUUGGAAGGUGGGAACCGCUGUUAUGACCAUGAUGAAGCUGUCCAUUUCCUAUGGACAUUAUUGGAGGGG